rnacentral:lncRNA from 1 species
UAAAAGCAGUAUGAGGUUUGAUGUUUUCAUUUUAUAGUUUCGUGUACAUAUUUUACUGUUUUACUGAUUAUGGGUUGAAUGACUGAGAUACCGAUGCUGUGUGUUGUCUGUUUGGCAUAAAUUAUUGUUUGCUUGUUUAAAUGUGAAUUGAUGAUGCUGAUUGAGGAAAAGAAGAAGGAAAGAUUGUAUAGAUUGAUAAUUG